UCAAGGUGUAGAUUUCCGCUCCAAAAAUUCGUUCAGCUUUCAGUCUCGCUGACCCCCUGCUCCUUUUUUUUUUGUUAGGGUUUUCUGUUUCUUGCUUAACCUGUGCUUCUGUGGGUUACGAUUUGGCAAUGGAAGUCGCUUCGCUCUCGAUGACCUCAGGACGCUAUCUGCUCUCUCCUUCAGCAGAAUCUCUGUUGCUUAAGAGGUUUAAACUUCCUUUACGGCAUCAAUGUUCACCAUCCGUUUCAUUAAGACGCACUGGGCCUCUAGUUUACAAGGAAAACUCUAUCAAGGUUUUAUGCAGCCUAAAGAAGGAAAUUUCCAUCAUAGAGGCCAGUUCUAUGGAUGAGAUAUAUGAUGCUUUAGCUGUGCGCCUUCUUCCUACUGCAGCGGCAGCAUCAAACCCUAAUCUGAAACACAUUGUAGGGUUGGCUGGUCCUCCUGGUGCUGGAAAGAGCACCUUAGCUUCUGAGGUAGUGCGACGCGUAAAUGAGUUGUGGCCCCAAAAAGGUCCUUCAUUUGAUUCUCAUGUUAAGCCUCCUGAUGUUGCUGCAGUUCUUCCCAUGGAUGGAUUCCAUCUAUAUCGUUCCCAGCUUGAUGCAAUGGAGAAUCCAGAGGAAGCCCAUGCAAGAAGGGGAGCUCCCUGGACAUUUUCUCCAACUCUAUUACUUGAAUGUCUAAAGAAAUUGAGGGAUGAGGGAUCAGUCUAUGCACCAUCAUUUGAUCAUGGUCUUGGAGAUCCUGUUGAAGAUGAUAUCUUUGUGAGCCUUCAGCAUAAAGUGGUCAUUGUCGAAGGGAACUACCUGUUGUUGGAAGAAGAAGUUUGGAAGGACUUGUCAUCUAUGUUUGAUGAGAAGUGAGUCUAAAGCCAGAAGCCUAGUCUUUGUACAUUGGAUGGUGAAUAUCUCUAUUUGUAUGGUUUGAGAUUCUGCUGCUGUGUGCUUUUACCUUGCAAUUUCAUAGUUGUUAAAUUGAGAAUCGAAUCAAGAAUCGAAAUCUUCAUUUUGUGAGUCGAGAAUUGAAUUGCAAGAUUCAGAAAAAAUUUUAAAUAUUAAAAAUAAGGUAUGUUCUAAAAAAUAAGUGUAAAGAUAUCAUAAUUACAUAUUAUAAUAAAUAUAGAAUUAUCAUCUGUCUAACUAAAAAUAUGUUCUAUAAUAGAAUAAUAUAUUUUGAUUAUAUUAUAUAGUUUUAUAUUAUAAAUUAAGAAUUCUUGAAUUAUAUAUAAUGAUCACCAUUAUGUGUGUGCUGAAACUCUCAUUUAAAUUUUAUCAAAUAAUUAAAUAAUAAAAAAGGAUAGCAUUUUACAUUAAAAGAUUACAAUAUAUUAAUAUAAAAUGUUAUAACUUGACAACUAUAAUUAGAGAAGUAAAAAACUUUGAAAAAUAAAAGGAAGAAAAAGAAGAGGGAAAGGGAAAAGAAUAGGUAAUAGAAGAAAAAUAAGGAAAAAGGUUUAUGUGCACUUGUUAUAGCAAAAAUGACUGAAUUCUGAAACUAAUAACCUUUUAAAAACUAAUCCCUUGAAUCAAGUGAAGACUCGAACGUUUUAUAUUGUUUCCUUUGAUUCACUAUUGAUUCUUUCAAUUUAGUCAUAUUUCAGAUACAUUUGCGAUUUGCACCAUAGAUACAAAUUGCUAAGAUGUGGAAUUGAAUCGAAUCAAGAAUCAUAAUAUUUGAAUCAAGAAUCAUAGGAUUCAAGUACCUUUAAGAUUCACCCAAUAGAUUCAAAUCGAUAUUGUGGGAAAUAGAUUUGAAUCAAGAAUCGUAAGAUUCUAACAACAGUGUGCAAUUUAGAAUUAGAUUAGUGUUUCAAAAUCUCAUACAUCAAUUUACUGCAUUGAAGUAAUGCACAGAGAGUGCAUCAGGCUAUCUUCUUUGAGCAUUAUUUAUAUGCGACUAUCACCCAAUGACAUUGGCCUUGCUAGAACUAAAUUUAAUUUAAACAGAGUAGAUAUUAUAUUUGUAAUGUUUCUUUAUUUUUCAGUUUUCCCGUGAGAUAUAUGCGCCUUAUCAUCCCAUGAGAUUGGCCUUGCUAGAACUAAAUUUAAUUUAGAUAUCUUUAUGAAUUCACUUCAAUUCUUUUCUCCAUCUUCCAUAUUUUGUACCACCUUCACAGAAAGUCUUAAUCAUCUUUCUUUUGUUUUGGAAACUUGGAUUUUGGUUUUUGUGUUCUGACAGUUUGAAUAAUCAGUAACUGGUUCAAUGAGUUCAGUUGAAUUUUGUUAUGCUAUGAAGGUUUAUUGAUAUUGACAUCGACAAGGCAAUGAAACGAGUUUUAAAGAGACAUAUUUCAACAGGCAAACCAGCUGAUGUUGCUAAAUGGCGGGUAGACUAUAAUGACCGGCCGAAUGCAGAACUUAUAAUGAAGUCAAAGAAAAAUGCCGACUUAGUAAUCAGGUCUAUUGAUUUCUAAAAUAGUUCUGCAUACAAUAAUACUGGAGAAAUGAGAAUGGUCAGUUGAGUUUGCUUUACUUUAAAUAAAACAACUCUUUUCUCUCCGACUAAAAUGAAAAGAGUCUGUUAAUGUUUUAGUUCCCAUGAUUGUUUUACAGAAAAAAAUUUCAUUAUUGUGAUCCUGGUCUUUUUAGCAUAUGAUUUUGGAGACAGGAAACAACUAUUUAAUUGAUGAGCUCUUCUGAAUCUAGAAUAAAUUUGUGGUGAUCAAGAUUUGGUCAUCAUAAUUCCA